ACCCACCUGACGAGUCCCAAAUAGGACGAAACACGCGUCCUGGAU
rnacentral:hammerhead_ribozyme from 1 species